UAGUGUGAGUGCAGUGUUGUUUACAAAAAAUUGAUCAAAACCAGCUAAUAGAUUUCUUUAUUCCUUCUCCACUCCCACUGUUUCACCUGACUA
rnacentral:Y_RNA from 1 species